GACUGAUUGGCGCAAUGGUAGCGCGUUUGAUUCCAAUCUAUGGAUUAUAUCAAAAGGUUGCGUGUUCGAGUCACGUAUCGGUCA